rfam:Bacillus cereus subsp. cytotoxis NVH 391-98, complete genome.
AGCAUCCUUCGGGGUCGGGUGAAAUUCCCAACCGGCGGUGAUGAAGUGCACGCUUCUAAGUCCGUGACCCGUUUUCAAAAUUGAAAACGGUGGAUCUAGUGAAACUCUAGAGCCGACAGUAUAGUCUGGAUGGGAGAAGGAUAUG